rnacentral:rRNA from 1 species
GACGAACGCUGGCGGCGUGCUUAACACAUGCAAGUCGAACGGAAAGGCCCUGCUUUUGUGGGGUGCUCGAGUGGCGAACGGGUGAGUAACACGUGAGUAACCUGCCCUUGACUUUGGGAUAACUUCAGGAAACUGGGGCUAAUACCGGAUAGGAGCUCCUGCUGCAUGGUGGGGGUUGGAACGUUUCGGCGGUUGGGGAUGGACUCGCGGCUUAUCAGCUUGUUGGUGGGGUAGUGGCUUACCAAGGCUUUGACGGGUAGCCGGCCUGGGAGGGUGACCGGCCACAUGGGGACUGAGAUACGGCCCAGACUCCUACGGGAGGCAACAGUGGGGAAUAUUACACAAUGGGCGGGAGCCGGAGGCAGCGGCGCCGCGUGCGGGAUGACGGCCUGCUGGUUGUGAACCGCUUUCGCCUGUGACGAAGCGUUAGUGACGGUAAUGGGAAAAGAAGCACCGGCUAACUACGUG